AAUGCAUGGUGAGGGCAUUUUCUAUGCCUCCUUAAAUCUCUCCCAAUUUUCAUAAAUUGAUUCUACUAACAAUUGGGUAAAAGAUAUUAUAUCAUUUCUAAGUUU